rnacentral:rRNA from 2 species
UUAAGCGACUAAGCGUACACGGUGGAUGCCCUGGCAGUCAGAGGCGAUGAAGGACGUGCUAAUCUGCGAUAAGCGUCGGUAAGGUGAUAUGAACCGUUAUAACCGGCGAUUUCCGAAUGGGGAAACCCAGUGUGAUUCGUCACACUAUCAUUAACUGAAUCCAUAGGUUAAUGAGGCGAACCGGGGGAACUGAAACAUCUAAGUACCCCGAGGAAAAGAAAUCAACCGAGAUUCCCCCAGUAGCGGCGAGCGAACGGGGAGGAGCCCAGAGCCUGAAUCAGUGUGUGUGUUAGUGGAAGCGUCUGGAAAGGCGCGCGAUACAGGGUGACAGCCCCGUACACAAAAAUGCACAUGCUGUGAGCUCGAUGAGUAGGGCGGGACACGUGGUAUCCUGUCUGAAUAUGGGGGGACCAUCCUCCAAGGCUAAAUACUCCUGACUGACCGAUAGUGAACCAGUACCGUGAGGGAAAGGCGAAAAGAACCCCGGCGAGGGGAGUGAAAAAGAACCUGAAACCGUGUACGUACAAGCAGUGGGAGCCUCUUUAUGGGGUGACUGCGUACCUUUUGUAUAAUGGGUCAGCGACUUAUAUUCUGUAGCAAGGUUAACCGAAUAGGGGAGCCGAAGGGAAACCGAGUCUUAACUGGGCGUUAAGUUGCAGGGUAUAGACCCGAAACCCGGUGAUCUAGCCAUGGGCAGGUUGAAGGUUGGGUAACACUAACUGGAGGACCGAACCGACUAAUGUUGAAAAAUUAGCGGAUGACUUGUGGCUGGGGGUGAAAGGCCAAUCAAACCGGGAGAUAGCUGGUUCUCCCCGAAAGCUAUUUAGGUAGCGCCUCGUGAAUUCAUCUCCGGGGGUAGAGCACUGUUUCGGCAAGGGGGUCAUCCCGACUUACCAACCCGAUGCAAACUGCGAAUACCGGAGAAUGUUAUCACGGGAGACACACGGCGGGUGCUAACGUCCGUCGUGAAGAGGGAAACAACCCAGACCGCCAGCUAAGGUCCCAAAGUCAUGGUUAAGUGGGAAACGAUGUGGGAAGGCCCAGACAGCCAGGAUGUUGGCUUAGAAGCAGCCAUCAUUUAAAGAAAGCGUAAUAGCUCACUGGUCGAGUCGGCCUGCGCGGAAGAUGUAACGGGGCUAAACCAUGCACCGAAGCUGCGGCAGCGACGCUUAUGCGUUGUUGGGUAGGGGAGCGUUCUGUAAGCCUGCGAAGGUGUACUGUGAGGUAUGCUGGAGGUAUCAGAAGUGCGAAUGCUGACAUAAGUAACGAUAAAGCGGGUGAAAAGCCCGCUCGCCGGAAGACCAAGGGUUCCUGUCCAACGUUAAUCGGGGCAGGGUGAGUCGACCCCUAAGGCGAGGCCGAAAGGCGUAGUCGAUGGGAAACAGGUUAAUAUUCCUGUACUUGGUGUUACUGCGAAGGGGGGACGGAGAAGGCUAUGUUGGCCGGGCGACGGUUGUCCCGGUUUAAGCGUGUAGGCUGGUUUUCCAGGCAAAUCCGGAAAAUCAAGGCUGAGGCGUGAUGACGAGGCACUACGGUGCUGAAGCAACAAAUGCCCUGCUUCCAGGAAAAGCCUCUAAGCAUCAGGUAACAUCAAAUCGUACCCCAAACCGACACAGGUGGUCAGGUAGAGAAUACCAAGGCGCUUGAGAGAACUCGGGUGAAGGAACUAGGCAAAAUGGUGCCGUAACUUCGGGAGAAGGCACGCUGAUACGUAGGUGAAGCGCCUUGCUCAUGGAGCUGAAAUCAGUCGAAGAUACCAGCUGGCUGCAACUGUUUAUUAAAAACACAGCACUGUGCAAACACGAAAGUGGACGUAUACGGUGUGACGCCUGCCCGGUGCCGGAAGGUUAAUUGAUGGGGUUAGCGGUAACGCGAAGCUCUUGAUCGAAGCCCCGGUAAACGGCGGCCGUAACUAUAACGGUCCUAAGGUAGCGAAAUUCCUUGUCGGGUAAGUUCCGACCUGCACGAAUGGCGUAAUGAUGGCCAGGCUGUCUCCACCCGAGACUCAGUGAAAUUGAACUCGCUGUGAAGAUGCAGUGUACCCGCGGCAAGACGGAAAGACCCCGUGAACCUUUACUAUAGCUUGACACUGAACAUUGAGCCUUGAUGUGUAGGAUAGGUGGGAGGCUUUGAAGUGUGGACGCCAGUCUGCAUGGAGCCGACCUUGAAAUACCACCCUUUAAUGUUUGAUGUUCUAACGUUGGCCCCUAAUCGGGGUUGCGGACAGUGUCUGGUGGGUAGUUUGACUGGGGCGGUCUCCUCCUAAAGAGUAACGGAGGAGCACGAAGGUUGGCUAAUCCUGGUCGGACAUCAGGAGGUUAGUGCAAUGGCAUAAGCCAGCUUGACUGCGAGCGUGACGGCGCGAGCAGGUGCGAAAGCAGGUCAUAGUGAUCCGGUGGUUCUGAAUGGAAGGGCCAUCGCUCAACGGAUAAAAGGUACUCCGGGGAUAACAGGCUGAUACCGCCCAAGAGUUCAUAUCGACGGCGGUGUUUGGCACCUCGAUGUCGGCUCAUCACAUCCUGGGGCUGAAGUAGGUCCCAAGGGUAUGGCUGUUCGCCAUUUAAAGUGGUACGCGAGCUGGGUUUAGAACGUCGUGAGACAGUUCGGUCCCUAUCUGCCGUGGGCGCUGGAGAACUGAGGGGGGCUGCUCCUAGUACGAGAGGACCGGAGUGGACGCAUCACUGGUGUUCGGGUUGUCAUGCCAAUGGCACUGCCCGGUAGCUAAAUGCGGAAGAGAUAAGUGCUGAAAGCAUCUAAGCACGAAACUUGCCCCGAGAUGAGUUCUCCCUGACUCCUUGAGAGUCCUGAAGGAACGUUGAAGACGACGACGUUGAUAGGCCGGGUGUGUAAGCGCAGCGAUGCGUUGAGCUAACCGGUACUAAUGAACCGUGAGGCUUAACCUU